rnacentral:rRNA from 1 species
UACGAAGGGUGCAAGCGUUAAUCGGAAUUACUGGGCGUAAAGCGUGCGUAGGCGGUGAGUUAAGUCUGUCGUGAAAUCCCCGGGCUCAACCUGGGAAUGGCGAUGGAUACUGGCUCGCUAGAGUGUGAUAGAGGAUGGUGGAAUUCCCGGUGUAGCGGUGAAAUGCGUAGAUAUCUGCAGGAACACCCGUGGCGAAAGCGGCGCGCUGGACCACAACUGACGCUGAGGAACGAAAGCUAGGGGAGCAAACAG